CUACGGGACGCAGCAGCUGCGAAUCUUUUGCAAUGCACGAAAGUGUGACAAAGCGAACCAAAGUGCUUUUCAUUUUGAAAAGCUUUUAUUUGUUCUAAAAAGACAGAGGAAUAAGGACUGGGAGAGACUGGUGCCAGCCGCCGCGGUAAUACCAGCAGUCCAAGUUGCAGCCAUAUUUAUUGGGUCUAAAACAUCCGUAGCUUGCUUGUUAAGUUUUUUGUGAAAUCUUAUAUCUCAAAUAUAAGGCUUGCAAAAAAUACUGACAAGCUAGAGACCGGUAGAUGUAAGGAGUACGCUUAAGGUAGUGGUUAAAUACGUUAAUCUUUGGCGGACUAACAAUUGGCGAAGGCACCUUACAAGGACGGAUCUGACAGUGAGGGAUGAAGGCCAGGGGCGCAAAACGGAUUAGAUACCCCUGUAGUC
rnacentral:rRNA from 1 species